rnacentral:rRNA from 1 species
UACGGAGGGUGCUAGCGUUGUUCGGAAUUACUGGGCGUAAAGGGCGCGUAGGCGGCCUGUUAAGUCGGGUGUGAAAGCCCGGGGCUCAACCCCGGAACGGCACCCGAGACUGGCGGGCUUGAGACCGAGAGAGGAGAGUGGAAUACCCAGUGUAGAGGUGAAAUUCGUAGAUAUUGGGUGGAACACCAGUGGCGAAAGCGGCUCUCUGGCUCGGUUCUGACGCUGAGGCGCGAAAGCGUGGGGAGCAAACAGG